rnacentral:rRNA from 1 species
GAUGAACGCUGGCGGCGUGCUUAACACAUGCAAGUCGAACGAAGAUGCCGGAGUGCUUGCACUUUGGCAGACUGAGUGGCGGACGGGUGAGUAACGCGUGGGUAACCUGCCUUAUACAGGGGGAUAACAGUUGGAAACGACUGCUAAUACCGCAUAAGCGCACGGUAUCGCAUGAUACAGUGUGAAAAACUCCGGUGGUAUAAGAUGGCCUCGCGUCUGAUUAGCUAGUUGGUGAGGUAACGGCCCACCAAGGCGACGAUCAGUAGCCGGACUGAGAGGUUGACCGGCCACAUUGGGACUGAGAUACGGCCCAGACUCCUACGGGAGGCAGCAGUGGGGAAUAUUGGGCAAUGGGCGCAAGCCUGACCCAGCAACGCCGCGUGAAGGAAGAAGGCUUUCGGGUUGUAAACUUCUUUUGUCGGGGACGAGUAGAAGAUGGUACCUGGCGAAUAAGCCACGGCUAACUACGUG